rnacentral:sRNA from 1 species
UAUGAAGGAAGCCCACUAAAACCUUUCAUGUCCUGUGGCGAACGUGGGAUCAACACAUCCUGUGAA